rnacentral:rRNA from 1 species
CCACGCCACUGACGCUCAUGCACGAAAGCGUGGGUAUCGAACAGGAUUAGAUACCCUGGUAGUCCACGCGGUAAACGAUGAUAACUAGUUAUUCGCCCCGACUGGGGGGUGAGUGACCGAGCGAAAGCGUUAAGUUAUCCACCUGGGGAGUACGCCGGCAACGGUGAAACUCAAAGGAAUUGACGGGGGCCCGCACAAGCGGAGGAACAUGUGGUUUAAUUCGAUGAUACGCGAGGAACCUUACCCGGGCUCAAACGCAUCGUGCUACACCCUGAAAGGGGUGGUUCUUCGGACGCGAUGCGAGGUGCUGCAUGGUUGUCGUCAGCUCGUGCCGUGAGGUGUCGGCUUAAGUGCCAUAACGAGCGCAACCCCCAUCUUCAGUUGCCCCCGGGUGAAGCCGGGCACUCUGGAGAGACUGCCGGCGCAAGCUGUGAGGAAGGCGGGGAUGACGUCAAAUCAGCACGGCCCUUACGUCCGGGGCGACACACGUGUUACAAUGGCGGGGCUACAGAGGGGAGCCAGGCGGCGACGCCGAGCUGAUCCCGAAAACCCGUCUCAGUUCGGAUCGGAGUCUGCAACCCGACUCCGUGAAGCUGGAUCG